CCAACACCUUCUAUCUAGGUGACCUCAUCAGUCUUCAGGCAUCGGUUGACAGCACUAACCAUGUGCCUCUGCGGCUCUUUGUGGACAACUGUGUGGCUUCAUCAGCUUCAAAUGGUUCUGCCCCAACAUAUGCCUUCAUUGGCAAUCAUGGGUGUCUUACUGACAGCAAAGUGACCAACUCCAAUUCCCAGUUCAUAACUCCCAGAGUUGCUCCAUCUACCCUCCAGUUUGUACUUGAUGCCUUUAGGUUCUAUGGUGUAGCUACAAGCUCGAUCUUCAUUACCUGUCGUCUGAAGGUGACUUUAGCUUCCCAGAAUAUAGAUUCCUUGAAUAAGGCUUGCUCCUAUGUAACUGGACAGAGCCAGUAAGUUUCUGCUGGAUUAAC